rnacentral:rRNA from 1 species
CAAAAACAUAGCCUUUAGCAAAAAGUAUUAAAGGUGACGCCUGCCCAGUGAUAUUUAAACGGCCGCGGGACCCUCACCGUGCAAAGGUAGCAUAACCACUUGUCCCCUCAAUAGUGACUAGUAUGAACGGCCAAAUGAAGAUUUUACUGUCUCUAGUAAUAGGUCAAUGAAACUAUUUUUUUAGUACAAAAACUAAAAUAAUAUUAUAAGACGAAAAGACCCUGUGGAACUUUAUAAAUAAUACUCAAAUAAAUGAUUACUUAUUUUUAGUUGGGGCAACUUUGGAAAUAAAUUAAACUUCCAAUAUAAUAUAAGACAGACAUGUCUACAUAUAAAUUAGCGAUCCAGUACUACUGACCAAAGAACCAAGCUACCCCAGGGAUAACAGCGCCAUCCCCUCAUAGAGCCCAAAUCGACGAGCGGGGUUUACGACCUCGAUGUUGGAUCAGGGCCCCCAGACAGUGCAACAGCUGCCAAUGGUUUGUUUGUUCAACAAUUAAUGCCCUACGUGAUCUGAGUUCAG